ACACUCAGGGGGAGGUGGAAGAGAGAAAGCAGUGAACAGAUUCAUCUUCCCUUCUAUAUCUGAAAGGAUAAGCAGGCUGUGCUUUCCAGAAAUGCGUGACCUAUCCAAUCCUUCCUCUCAUGGAAACACCAACUCAUCCAUGCCCUCUGUGCUGAAACUUCGUCUCAGCCUGCUGGAAUCACCUGCACCCCAUGGGAACUGUAGCCAUAUCUUCAGUCCUGUGAGCCCCCGUCAUGGCCUGUCACAGGAGUAAAUGAGGAGUAAGGCCCAGAAUACUCAGUACCUCUCAAUGACCCUCAGACGCUGUAGGAAGAGGAUUGGUUCACCUUUUAACCCAGAAUUUCUCACAUUGAAUGGACAGGAUGCAUUCCAAGAGGCCAGAGUAUGUGCAUCUCAGCUCCUGAUGGUUUCCACCACCACCAUUACUUUCUCUAUGUCAAGAUACCUGGGAAGCCGGAGUUGUUUUAAGGCAGAGUAUCAUAUCGCAUCAAAACCGCUCCAUAAGUCCUGCCACUCCACGUGCAAUGCCAUGAACUUGAAGAAACUGCUGGUAAGAGAAAGCAAAUGCUGUGACCAGGCAACUGCUGCAAACCAAUGGGCUUUGGGGAACUGUGCUUCCCUUCAGAAAGGAAAGAGUAUUUAACGAUGAAAAGGAAGGUGGAUUUUCCCUACUCAUGCUUCCUAGAGAUUUGGUGAGGAUUUGUUGAGUCAUGGGACAUUUCAGCUUGCCAAGCUUCUUUAGCUUUAGCACGUGUUUCCACCAGUGUCCCUUAACGGAGAGGAUGACUAUGUCACUGAAGAAGUGGAGGGGCUGAAAAUGGACUCAGCUCUUGGCCCCUGUAGAGACUGCAAGACUCCGUGCACAACGUGACAGUCGGGGCUUCCUCUGAGCACUGCGCCGUUCAGCCCUAUUGCGCAACCUGCCACGCCCUGUUACUGUAAAUGGAACACCGGCUGUGAGCUGGUCAAGGCCCUGCCAUGACAAGGCCACUUGCAUAGGACUCCAAAUUAAAAAAAAAAAAAA
ensembl:lncRNA LINC00607 long intergenic non-protein coding RNA 607